ensembl:snRNA U6 U6 spliceosomal RNA
AUAUUAGAUACAUAACAGAAUAUUUUCUAAAUGCAAUGAUAGAGAGAUUAGAAUGACCCCUGUGCAAGGAUGACAUGCAACUUCAUGACGCACUCCAUAUUUAA